UACGGAGGGAGCUAGCGUUGUUCGGAUAUACUGGGCGUAAAGAGUGUGUAGGCGGUGCUCUAAGUUCGGUGUGAAAUCUCCCGGCUUAACUGGGAGGGUGCGCCGGAAACUGGAGUGCUUGAGCGCGGGAGAGGAAAGCGGAAUUCCUGGUGUAGCGGUGAAAUGCGUAGAUAUCAGGAGGAACACCUGUGGUGUAGACGGCUUUCUGGACCGUAGCUGACGCUGAGACACGAAAGCGUGGGUAGCAAACAGG
rnacentral:rRNA from 1 species